rnacentral:rRNA from 1 species
UGGGGAAUAUUGGACAAUGGGCGAAAGCCUGAUCCAGCCAUGCCGCGUGUGUGAAGAAGGUCUUCGGAUUGUAAAGCACUUUAAGUUGGGAGGAAGGGCAUUAACCUAAUACGUUAGUGUUUUGACGUUACCGACAGAAUAAGCACCGGCUAACUCUGUGCCAGCAGCCGCGGUAAUACAGAGGGUGCAAGCGUUAAUCGGAAUUACUGGGUGUAAAGCGCGCGUAGGUGGUUUGUUAAGUUGGAUGUGAAAGCCCCGGGCUCAACCUGGGAACUGCAUCCAAAACUGGCAAGCUAGAGUACGGUAGAGGGUGGUGGAAUUUCCUGUGUAGCGGUGAAAUGCGUAGAUAUAGGAAGGAACACCAGUGGCGAAGGCGACCACCUGGACUAAUACUGACACUGAGGUGCGAAAGCGUGGGGAGCAAACA